GUGAUGGGUCGCCCCACCGCGGCAAGGGAGGCAACUCCGGCGACGAGGAAAGUCCGGGCAACGCAGAGCACCCUGCUUCCUAACGGGAAGGACUGGCAAGCGUAAAGUGAACCAGGACAGCCAGUGCCACAGAAAAUUACCGCCUACGUCGCCUUUGGGCGGCCGGUAAGGGUGAAAAGGUGCGGUAAGAGCGCACCAGCGGCUGGGCAACCACGCCGGCUGGGUAAACCUCAGGGGUUGAAAGACCAAAUAAGCUGGUAGGCAAGGCCGCAAGGCCCUGCACCGGGCGGCUCGUCCGGCGCCAGCGGGUAGGUUGAUGGAGCCUUUCCGCGAGGACUGGCCUAGAUAAAUGGUGGGGCCGUGGCAACACGGACAAAACCCGGCUUACAGACUCAUCACCGGC
rnacentral:RNase_P_RNA from 1 species